GACGAACGCUGGCGGCGUGCCUAAUACAUGCAAGUAGAACGCUGAAGGAGGAGCUUGCUUCUCUGGAUGAGUUGCGAACGGGUGAGUAACGUGUAGGUAACCUGCCUGGUAGCGGGGGAUAACUAUUGGAAACGAUAGCUAAUACCGCAUAAGAGUAGAUGUUGCAUGACAUUUGCUUAAAAGGUGCAAUUGCAUCACUACCAGAUGGACCUGCGUUGUAUUAGCUAGUUGGUGAGGUAACGGCUCACCAAGGCAACGAUACAUAGCCGACCUGAGAGGGUGAUCGGCCACACUGGGACUGAGACACGGCCCAGACUCCUACGGGAGGCAGCAGUAGGGAAUCUUCGGCAAUGGACGGAAGUCUGACCGAGCAACGCCGCGUGAGUGAAGAAGGUUUUCGGAUCGUAAAGCUCUGUUGUAAGAGAAGAACGAGUGUGAGAGUGGAAAGUUCACACUGUGACGGUAUCUUACCAGAAAGGGACGGCUAACUACGUGCCAGCAGCCGCGGUAAUACGUAGGUCCCGAGCGUUGUCCGGAUUUAUUGGGCGUAAAGCGAGCGCAGGCGGUUAGAUAAGUCUGAAGUUAAAGGCUGUGGCUUAACCAUAGUACGCUUUGGAAACUGUUUAACUUGAGUGCAAGAGGGGAGAGUGGAAUUCCAUGUGUAGCGGUGAAAUGCGUAGAUAUAUGGAGGAACACCGGUGGCGAAAGCGGCUCUCUGGCUUGUAACUGACGCUGAGGCUCGAAAGCGUGGGGAGCAAACAGG
rnacentral:rRNA from 1 species